rnacentral:tRNA from 1 species
GCUCAGUUGGUAAAGCACAAGGCUCUUAACCUUGUGGACGUGGAUUCAAUCCCCAU